UUGUGGGGUACAGGGGAGCGUACCGAGGGGGUGAGUGGAGUCAACCCUGUGUCGUCCCGCUCCCACGCUCUGCUCCAGAUACAGCUCAGAGACUCUGGCCAUCGGGCCACUGGCAGGAUGUCAUUUGUGGAUCUGGCUGGGAGUGAGAGAGCAGCAGACUCCAGAGACCCAGACAGACUGAGUCGCAUGGAGGGGGCAGAGAUCAACCAGAGUCUACUGGCACUGAAAGAAUGUAUCCGUUCUCUUGACCAAGAGCAGUCACACACACCGUUCAGACAGAGCAAACUCACGCAGGUAAAGAAUCCCACACACACAUUGCAAACGUUCACGGGUUCAACUCUCAACAACACAUCUGAGCAACUCCACACCAGGCUUGUGCUUCAACUGUGUUGUCCACAGGGAAUGAUAGAACUUGGGUCAGUACCACUUUGUUCAAACUCUGUUUACCUUGUUGUCUGUAUAGGUUUUGAAGGAUUCCUUUGUUGGUGAUUCAAAGACAUGUAUGAUUGCAAACGUUUCCCCCAGUCACCUAGCAACCAAACACACACUCAAUACGCUGAGAUACGCUGACCGGUGAGUGUUACGUAUUAUGUAGGUCAUAUAAGAGCACACAC